rnacentral:rRNA from 1 species
GACGAACGCUGGCGGCGUGCUUAACACAUGCAAGUCGAACGGAAAGGCCCUGCUUUUGUGGGGUGCUCGAGUGGCGAACGGGUGAGUAACACGUGAGUAACCUGCCCUUGACUUUGGGAUAACUUCAGGAAACUGGGGCUAAUACCGGAUAGGAGCUCCUGCUGCAUGGUGGGGGUUGGAAAGUUUCGGCGGUCGGGGAUGGACUCGCGGCUUAUCAGCUUGUUGGUGGGGUAGUGGCUUACCAAGGCUUUGACGGGUAGCCGGCCUGAGAGGGUGACCGGCCACAUUGGGACUGAGAUACGGCACAGACUCCUACGGGAGGCAGCAGUGGGGAAUAUUGCACAAUGGGCGGAAGCCUGAUGCAGCAACGCCGCGUGCGGGAUGACGGCCUUCGGGUUGUAAACCGCUUUCGCCUGUGACGAAGCGUGAGUGACGGUAAUGGGUAAAGAAGCACCGGCUAACUACGUG